rnacentral:rRNA from 1 species
CGGGCAGUAGCAAUACUGUCAGUGGCGGACGGGUGAGUAACGCGUAGGAAUCUAUCCUUGGAAUGGGGGACAACCGUGGGAAACUACGGCUAAUACCGCAUGAUGCCUGAGGGCCAAAGACGAAAGUCGUUUGAGGAGGAGCCUGCGUCUGAUUAGGUAGUUGGUGGGGUAAAGGCCUACCAAGCCCUACGAUCAGUAGCUGGUCUGAGAGGAUGAUCAGCCACAUUGGGACUGAGACACGGCCCAAACUCCUACGGGAGGCAGCAGUGGGGAAUAUUGGACAAUGGGCGCAAGCCUGAUCCAGCAAUGCCGCGUGGGUGAAGAAGGUCUUCGGAUUGUAAAGCCCUUUUGGCGGGGACGAUGAUGACGGUACCCGCAGAAUAAGCUCCGGCUAACUUCGUG